rnacentral:rRNA from 1 species
UACGAAGGGGGCUAGCGUUGCUCGGAAUCACUGGGCGUAAAGGGUGCGUAGGCGGGUUUUUAAGUCAGAGGUGAAAUCCUGGAGCUCAACUCCAGAACUGCCUUUGAUACUGGGAAUCUUGAGUAUGGAAGAGGUGAGUGGAACUGCGAGUGUAGAGGUGAAAUUCGUAGAUAUUCGCAAGAACACCAGUGGCGAAGGCGGCUCACUGGUCCAUAACUGACGCUGAGGCACGAAAGCGUGGGGAGCGAACAGG